GUUAAUGUAGCUUAAACUUAAAGCAAGGCACUGAAAAUGCCUAGAUGAGUAUCCUAACUCCAUAAACA
rnacentral:tRNA from 1 species